GACGAACGCUGGCGGCAUGCCUAACACAUGCAAGUCGAGCGGGCAGAUCCCUUCGGGGUGAAGCUAGCGGCGGACGGGUGAGUAACACGUGGGCAACCUGCCUCAUAGAGGGGAAUAGCCUUCCGAAAGGAAGAUUAAUACCGCAUAAGAUUGUAGCUUCGCAUGAAGCAGCAAUUAGAGGAGCAAUCCGCUAUGAGAUGGGCCCGCGGCGCAUUAGCUAGUUGGUGAGGUAACGGCUCACCAAGGCGACGAUGCGUAGCCGACCUGAGAGGGUGAUCGGCCACAUUGGGACUGAGACACGGCCCAGACUCCUACGGGAGGCAGCAGUGGGGAAUAUUGCACAAUGGGGGAAACCCUGAUGCAGCAAUGCCGCGUGAGUGAUGACGGCCUUCGGGUUGUAAAGCUCUGUCUUCGGGGACGAUAAUGACGGUACCCGAGGAGGAAGCCACGGCUAACUACGUGCCAGCCGCCGCCGUAA
rnacentral:rRNA from 1 species